GACGAACGCUGGCGGCGUGCUUAACACAUGCAAGUCGAACGGAAAGGCCCUGCUUUUGUGGGGUGCUCGAGUGGCGAACGGGUGAGUAACACGUGAGUAACCUUCCCUUGACUUUGGGAUAACUUCAGGAAACUGGGGCUAAUACCGGAUAGGAGCUCCUGCUGCAUGGUGGGGGUUGGAAAGUUUCGGCGGUUGGGGAUGGACUCGCGGCUUAUCAGCUUGUUGGUGGGGUAGUGGCUUACCAAGGCUUUGACGGGUAGCCGGCCUGAGAGGGUGACCGGCCACAAUGGGACUGAGAUACGGCCCAGACUCCUACGGGAGGCAGCAGUGGGGAAUAUUGCACAAUGGGCGGAAGCCUGAGGCAGCAACGCCGCGUGCGGGAUGAAGGCCUUCGGGUUGUAAACCGCUUUCGCCUGUGACGAAGCGUGAGUGACGGUAAUGGGUAAAGAAGCACCGGCUAACUACGUG
rnacentral:rRNA from 1 species